rnacentral:rRNA from 1 species
AGAGUUUGAUCCUGGCUCAGGAUGAACGCUGGCGGUGUGCCUAAGGCAUGCAAGUCGAACGCUCUAGCUUGCUAGAGAGUGGCAGACGGGUGAGUAACGCGUAGGAACCUACCCUUGAGAGGAGAAUAGCCCACCGAAAGGUGGAGUAAUACUCCAUGGUCCCUAAUAACGAGAGUUAUAUGGGUAAAGAUUUAUCGCUCAAGGAGGGGCCUGCGUCCUAUCAGGUAGUUGGUGGGGUAAUAGCCUACCAAGCCUAUGACGGGUAGCCGGUGUGAGAGCACGACCGGCCACAAGGUUACUGAGACACGGAGCCUACACCUACGGGUGGCAGCAACCAGGAAUAUUGCGCAAUGGACGAAAGUCUGACGCAGCGACACCGCGUGUGGGAUGAAGCUUUUCGGAGUGUAAACCACUGUGGCGAAGGAUGAAGUAAUGACAGUACUUCGCUAGAAAGCACCAGCUAACUACGUGCCAGAAGCUUCGGUAAUACGUAGGGUGCGAGCGUUAUCCGGAUUUACUGGGCGUAAAGGGUCCGUAGGCGACCUGAUAAGUUUCUUGUUUAAGCCCGAGGCUCAACUUCGGACAGGCAAGAAAAACUAUCAGGAUUGAGUUAGUUCGAGGUAGUUGGAAUUCUCGGUGGAGGGGUGAAAUCCGUAGAGAUCGAGAGGAACGCCGCCUGCGAAGGCAGACUACUAGGACUUAACUGACGCUGAUGGACGAAAGCUUGGGUAGCAAAAGGGAUUAGAGACCCCUGUAGUCCAAGCCGUAAACACUCCUUGCUAGUUGUUCCUGACUUCGGUCGGGAGUGACGUAAGCUAACGCGUUAAGCAAGGCGCCUGGGGAGUACAACCGCAAGGUUAAAACUCAAAGGAAUUGGCGGGGGAGCGUACAACCGGUGGAGCAUGUGGUUUAAUUCGAUACAAAGCGAAAAACAUUACCUGGGUUUGACAUCUAGCUGCAAAGCUUGGGAAACCAAGAAGUCUUCGAGAGUGCUAGACAGGUGAUGCAUGGCUGUCGUCAGCUCGUGUC